GACGAACGCUGGCGGCGUGCUUAACACAUGCAAGUCGAACGGAAAGGCCCUGCUUUUGUGGGGUGCUCGAGUGGCGAACGGGUGAGUAACACGUGAGUAACCUGCCCUUGACUUUGGGAUAACUUCAGGAAACUGGGGCUAAUACCGGAUAGGAGCUCCUGCUGCAUGGUGGGGGUUGGAAAGUUUCGGCGGUUGGGGAUGGACUCGCGGCUUAUCAGCUUGUUGGUGGGGUAGUGGCUUACCAAGGCUUUGACGGGUAGCCGGCCUGAGAGGGUGACCGGCCACAUGGGGACGGGGAUACGGCCCAGACCCCUACGGGGGGCAGGAGGGGGGAAUAUGGCAAAAAAGGGGGAAGCCUGAUGAAGCAACGCCGGGGGGGGGAGGACGGCCUUGGGGUGGGAAACCGCUUUCGCCUGGGAAGAAGCGGGAGUGACGGUAAUGGGGAAAGAAGCACCGGCUAACUACGU
rnacentral:rRNA from 1 species